GGUACAGGGGGAGAGUUUCUCGUCUGGUGGUUCUUGGAUCCAUCACCAGCUGGAGCCACAAGACAGAGGAAGAAGGUGGAGGACGGACUAAGUGUACCACGAUCUGACAGCCCCGAAAAUAUCGGCCUGAGGCAUCGGAAGCUUCAAGGACCAACAACACACCUCCAUGGCAAGUUGAGACUCGACCGUACAGACCCGUCCGAUCUCGUCUACGACUCCGUUAACUGAGAAACGCCGCCGACCCGCGGAAGGCACUUUCUCCAUCAAUGCCUAAAGUGGACCUGAACCUUUGGACCUGAUGUGAACUAGAAUGAAGUUGGCUGGACUUCAAGUACUCUGUGGAAGCUUCAAGGACCAACAACACAUCUCGGUACGACAAGUCGAGACUCGACCGUACAGACCCGUCCGGUCUCGCACACGACGCCGUUAACGGCAAACGGAGAAACGCCGCUGGGAGGCACUUUCUCCAACACUGCCUACAGUGGACCUGAUGUGAACUAGAAUGAAGUUGGCUGGACAUGAAAUUUACUGGACCUCAAGUAGUCUGUGGAAGCUUUAAGGACCAACAACACAUCUCGGUACGACAAGUGGAGACUCGACCGUACAGACCCGUCCGGUCUCGCACACGACGCCGUUAACGGCAAACGGAGAAACGCCGCCGCCGACCCGCCGGAGGUACUUUCUCCAUCACUGC